rnacentral:rRNA from 1 species
GACAGAGGUGCCAAGCGUUAGGCGGAAUCACUGGGCUUAAAGCGUGUGUAGGCGGAGUGCUAAGUACCUUGUGAAAUCCCACGGCUCACCGUGGAACUGCUGGGUAUACUGGUUCUCUUGAGCGACCCAGGGGCGAGCGGAACAAACGGUGGAGCGGUGAAAUGCGUAGAUAUCCGGAGGAACACCAAAGGCGAAGGCAGUGUCCUGGGGAGUACCUGACGCUCAGGUGCGAAAGCCAGGGGAGCGAACGGG